rnacentral:rRNA from 1 species
UACGUAGGGUGCGAGCGUUAAUCGGAAUUACUGGGCGUAAAGCGUGCGCAGGCGGUUCUGAAAGUCAGCUGUGAAAGCCCCGGGCUUAACCUGGGAACUGCGGUUGAAACUACAGGACUAGAAUCUGGCAGAGGGGGGUGGAAUUCCACGUGUAGCAGUGAAAUGCGUAGAGAUGUGGAGGAACACCAAUGGCGAAGGCAGCCCCCUGGGCUGAGAUUGACGCUCAGGCACGAAAGCGUGGGGAGCAAACAGG